rnacentral:rRNA from 1 species
AUUGAACGCUGGCGGCAGGCCUAACACAUGCAAGUCGAGCGGAGCGGCGGUCGGGGGCGUAAUGCUUAGGAAUCUGCCUCUUAGUGGGGGACAACGACACGAAAUGGAUGCUAAUACUGCAUACUCAUAGAUGCGCCUAAGUCGGAUUAGCUAGUGGGUGGGGUAAAGGCCUACCAAGGCGACGAUCUCUAGCGGGUCUGAGAGGAUGAUCCGCCACACUGGGACUGAGACACGGCCCAGACUCCUACGGGAGGCAGCAGUGGGGAAUAUUGGACAAUGGGGGGAACCCUGAUGCAGCCAUGCCGCGUGUAUGAAGAAGGCCUUCGGGUUGUAAAGCACUUUCAGCGGGGAGGCGUUACCCGCAGAAGAAGCACCGGCUAACUCCGUGCCAGCAGCCGCGGUAAUAC